GACGAACGCUGGCGGCGUGCCUAACACAUGCAAGUCGAACGGAACUGUUUUGAAAGAUUUCUUCGGAAUGAAUUUGAUUUAGUUUAGUGGCGGACGGGUGAGUAACGCGUGAGUAACCUGCCUUCAAGAGGGGAAUAACAUUCUGAAAAGAAUGCUAAUACCGCAUGACAUAUCGGAACCACAUGGUUUUGAUAUCAAAGAUUUUAUCGCUUGAAGGUGGACUCGCGUCCGAUUAGUUAGUUGGUGAGGUAACGGCUCACCAAGACCGCGAUCGGUAGCCGGACUGAGAGGUUGAACGGCCACAUUGGGACUGAGACACGGCCCAGACUCCUACGGGAGGCAGCAGUGGGGGAUAUUGCGCAAUGGGGGCAACCCUGACGCAGCAACGCCGCGUGAAGGAUGAAGGUUUUCGGAUUGUAAACUUCUUUUAUUAAGGACGAAAAAUGACGGUACUUAAUGAAUAAGCUCCGGCUAACUACGUG
rnacentral:rRNA from 1 species